rnacentral:rRNA from 1 species
UACGGGGGGAGCAAGCGUUGUUCGGAUUUACUGGGCGUAAAGGGCGCGUAGGCGGCCUCCGCAAGUCGACUGUGAAAUCUCCGGGCUUAACCCGGAAAGGUCAGCCGAAACUGCGGGGCUAGAGUGCAGAAGGGGCAACUGGAAUUCUCGGUGUAGCGGUGAAAUGCGUAGAUAUCGAGAGGAACACCUGCGGCGAAGGCGGGUUGCUGGGCUGACACUGACGCUGAAGCGCGAAAGCUAGGGGAGCGAACGGG